rnacentral:ncRNA from 12 species
CUCUAAUACAUUUUCUAGAUUAUAUAUUUUACGGAAUAUAUACAAUGAAAGUAUUAGUAUUAAAGAGAUUUAUCCCAUCCUAAUUUAGGUAAACAUGAAUCAGCAUGCAACAUAUAAGUAGGCUUUUAUAAGUAGAACUUAUGUGGCAUGC